UACGAAGGGUGCAAGCGUUACUCGGAAUUACUGGGCGUAAAGCGUGCGUAGGCGGUUUGUUAAGUCUGUCGUGAAAGCCCCGGGCUCAACCUGGGAAUGGCGAUGGAUACUGGCGAGCUAGAGUACGGUAGAGGAGAGUGGAAUUCCCGGUGUAGCAGUGAAAUGCGUAGAGAUCGGGAGGAACAUCAGUUGCGAAGGACGGGUAGCUGGGCCGACACUGACGCUGAUGCGCGAAAGCCAGGGGAGCAAACGGGG
rnacentral:rRNA from 1 species